rnacentral:lncRNA from 1 species
UCCGUCUAUAUUUUCACUAGCUUUGAAAUAACUUUUAGUAACUGCGAGAACUUUUAUUUCGGUGCUUUGUUUCUAUUGUUUUUAUGUAAGUGAUUUUUGUGCAACGUAUCAACAUUUUUAGUGAAGCCAAUUGCAACUGAUACUUUUUUUCUUGCGGUGUGCUGUCCUAGGUUGGGUUCAUUGGGGAGGGUUGAGUUUAUGGCCACCACAUUGUUUAUGUACCAAUGCCCAUUCCAGAGCCAGGAACGUGUAGUACCGGGUACAGUGGUUGUUGUUGGUUCAUGUCGUUUGAGUAUGUUUUUUUUGUAAAUUAUUUUGUAAUCAAUAAGCCUGUUAGUUUUGUUUGUUUUGUUCCCUAAUUUGUAUGGUCGGAGCAUUUUAUAGCCGACUAUAUAUGUUUGUUUUUUUCAUUUUUGGAGGCCGUACGGUGGCCUUUUAUUACUUGCUACCAGGUCCGUGUAACUCCGGUGGAUAUUUGUAUAAUAAGUGCUAGAUCGUGGUCGACCCUAUAUAUACAACUUUAGGGCAGGCGGGAUAUUUUUGUAG